rnacentral:rRNA from 1 species
AGUGAACGCUGGCGGUAGGCCUAACACAUGCAAGUCGAACGGCAGCACAGUAAGAGCUUGCUCUUACGGUUGGCGAGUGGCGGACGGGUGAGGAAUACAUCGGCAUCUACUUUUUCGUGGGGGAUAACGUAGGGAAACUUACGCUAAUACCGCAUACUAUCUACGGGUGAAAGCAGGGGAUCUUCGGACCUUGCGCGAUUGAAUGAGACGAUGUCGGAUUAGCUAGUUGGCGGGGUAAAGGCCCACCAAGGCAACGAUCCGUAGCUGGUCUGAGAGGAUGAUCAGCCACACUGGAACUGAGACACGGUCCAGACUCCUACGGGAGGCAGCAGUGGGGAAUAUUGGACAAUGGGCGCAAGCCUGACCCAGCCAUACCGCGUGGGUGAAGAAGGCCUUCGGGUUGUAAAGCCCUUUUGUUGGGAAAGAAAAGCAGCAGGUUAAUCCCCCGCUGUUCUGACGGUACCCAAAGAAUAAGCACCGGCUAACUUCGUG